GCGCACGCUGGCGGCAGGCCUAACCCCUGCCAGUCGAACGAACUCUUCGGAGUUAGUGGCGGACGGGUGAGUAACACGUGGGAACGUGCCUUUAGGUUCGGAAUAACUCAGGGAAACUUGUGCUAAUACCGAAUGUGCCCUUCGGGGGAAAGAUUUAUCGCCUUUAGAGCGGCCCGCGUCUGAUUAGCUAGUUGGUGAGGUAAAGGCUCACCAAGGCGACGAUCAGUAGCUGGUCUGAGAGGAUGAUCAGCCACAUUGGGACUGAGACACGGCCCAAACUCCUACGGGAGGCAGCAGUGGGGAAUCUUGCGCAAUGGGCGAAAGCCUGACGCAGCCAUGCCGCGUGAAUGAUGAAGGUCUUAGGAUUGUAAAAUUCUUUCACCGGGGACGAUAAUGACGGUACCCGGAGAAGAAGCCCCGGCUAACUUCGUG
rnacentral:rRNA from 1 species